AUACUGAAAGGCUGCUCUCAGGUCCCCUCGGAGCCUUCUUUUCUCCGUGCUGAACAGCCCCAGCUCUCUCAGCCUGUACUUAUAGGAGAAGUGUUCCAUUUCAUGGAUCAUUGUUGUGGCCCUUCUCUGGAUGCAUUCCAACAGGUCUAUGUCUCUCAGUAUAGAUUAGGAUCCCAUCUGUACCAACAGCCACCACUGCUCUUUGCAAUCCUACUAUGACUGAAGAUCACAAGACGGGAGGAGACAUUCACUGUUUCAUACUGAAAGAUGGUUUUAUCCCUGUCUAGAGGAUGGAAAAUACAUGACAGAAUGGACUUCAGAAGUAACAGAGGAAGUCCUUGCUUCUAGAGCUGUCACUGAAGGCAGCAUAUGGCUCUCCUGCAGUCGGGGAAGGAUCCCACAGUGUGACCUAGCUAGCCUCCACACCUCUGAUUCCUGUUACCCCUGCACAGAGGUUACCACUUUCAGCUAGGAGGCUCUGUGCAGCGCCCAUUCCCCGGAGUGCUUAUCUGGUAAGUUACCUUAACCCAGGCUAAUGAGCAGAGCAGCCAGUAAAAGGAAUCCCAGGGGCGGGUGGAUGGGUGAGGAGCUGCAUUAGCUGAUCACUAACGUUGUUUAUUUCUGUGUAAAAAUAAAAGGCCAUGAGCUGUGAUUGUGUACAUCUGCAGUCAGUCAGUGCUUGGUCUUGAGGAUGAAGACAAAAUCAAAAGACAGCAAGAUGUACCAGAAGGCUGAACAGACUUACAGAGUCAGAACUGAAAGUGCAUGUGGUCUGAAGAAUCUCAUUUUUAGGGCAAAUAUUGGUAGUAAUAAAAGCAUCGCUAUUGACUUGGGGUCAAAACUUCAGUCAUUUCUGCCAUCACAUGUCCUACUGUAACCACUUCUGAGAUGCUGGAGAACUGCUGUAAUAUUCAUAUUCUAACAACUUAGAUAAAAAGACUGAUAGCAGUCCUGUUUCCUUAAGCCAGUUACAUCCUACCUGCAGCCUGUGAGCUGCACACUGCCUGGCCCAGCGUGCAAUUUGGCUACUGUCUGCCUGUGCCAUCAUGGCGGCCCUGGGCGUGCACCCAUUCCUCAGCAACAACCAAACAUCAGUGUGCUAUUAACGCUGUCUGGGAUGAAACCAGGGUACAGGGAGGACAGUGCUGUGCCGUGCUGUGCUGACUCAGGCAAUGGCAAAUAAUUGUAUGUAUUUUGAUACAUUGCCUAAGUGCAGUCCUGUGAAAAGUGUGCAGCCCUGUUUUCCAUUCUGACAAAGGAAAUUUGAGAACAGGCUUCAAGAUUUCAAAAAAAAUAUAUUUAGUUCAUCAAUAUAUUUGCAACUCCAUUUUCAUUUGACAUAAAUACAUUUUCAAAUGGAAUGUAUGGAGUUGCAAUCAGAUAUUCAAUUCAAAAAUCUGAUCAUGUCCCUUUAUCAGACUUUUAUAGGAAAGAAAUAUCCCUCACUUCACAAUCAUGCCUUAUUCAUGUCAUCACUUUUGGCAGUACGCACAUUUGUGAACAAAUUUUGCCAAGGAUGAAGCACAGAAAGUGUAAAAUUUCAUCAAAAAUCUCUGAUGAGUACCUUGAGACCUCAAGAGUUGCCACCACUGCCAUCACAGCAGACUGACACAUUAGCUUCACAAAAACAAAGCCAAA